GGAAAGGCAUGGCAGGAACACCAGAUGGAGCAACCUCAGCGCCGCAGUAUUUCUGGGAGGUAGCUUGCCAGUCCCUUCUCAAAUAUCUCCAGGGGAGGAAAACUCACUGCAUCCUGAGGCAGUCCAUUCCGCUGAUCAACAGAUCCAUACAAGGUGAUUGUUUUCAUGCUGAAUUCUGGAGAAUAGUUUCGAGACACA
rnacentral:lncRNA from 11 species